ACUCCUACGGGAGGCAGCAGUGGGGAAUAUUGCACAAUGGGCGCAAGCCUGAUGCAGCCAUGCCGCGUGUAUGAAGAAGGCCUUCGGGUUGUAAAGUACUUUCAGCAGUGAGGAAGGCAGGUACGUUAAUAGCGUGCUUGUUUGACGUUAGCUGCAGAAGAAGCACCGGCUAACUCCGUGCCAGCAGCCGCGGUAAUACGGAGGGUGCGAGCGUUAAUCGGAAUUACUGGGCGUAAAGCGCAUGCAGGUGGUUUGUUAAGUCAGAUGUGAAAGCCCGGGGCGUCAACCUCGGAAUUGCAUUUGAAACUGGCAGACUAGAGUACUGUAGAGGGGGUUAGAAUUUCAGGUGUAGCGGUGAAAUGCGUAGAGAUCUGAAGGAAUACCGGUGGCGAAGGCGGCCCCUGGACAGAUACUGACACUCAGAUGCGAAAGCGUGGGAGCAAACAGGAUUAGAUACCCCGUGGUAGCGACUGA
rnacentral:rRNA from 1 species